ACAAAAAGCAGAGUUUUAAUUUUGUUUUCAGACAAUAUUCCAGAUCACACCUCUCGGAGUAACGGAAUGGAUGGCAGUGUUGAAGAUAUCCAUACCAGUGAUUAUACUUGACGAGACUCUCAAGUUCAUUGCAAGAAAGUUUACUGAUGGUGAGACCUCCUAUUUUGAGUUGGCCAUCAUAAUGAUUGUCUGGGCAUUGUAUAUACCUUUAGCAUCUGGUCUAGUUAUAUGAAGGACAUUACAACCAGGUUAAUACUGCGGGAGAAUCACCAUAAUAUACGUAAAAAUCUACAUUUUCAUGAUUUUAAACAAUGGAAUUGGGGAACAUUAGACAGAACUAUCAAUGAAAUUAGCUUUUAGGCAAAAUUUGAGAAGUAUACUUACAAAAUAUGAAUAGAUAGUGUCUUUCAUUUGGAAAGAGUUUUCAGGAAAAAAUAUCCUUGAAAAAGUAAGCUUUGUAGGUGUAAGAUAGACCAAGAUAAUUGUUUGGUUUCAGGAUAAGGUCCAGGCAUACUAGUGCUCAAAGCUUUUUUAAUUGUAGUGUUCAAAUGUUUGAGAUGUAUUGUUGAUAGGAGUUAUAUUGUGAUUAACAAAUGGGUCUGUCAGGUAGUUAUUCCUACCUUUCUCUUUACUCAGUUAUUUCUCGUUUUUUUUGUUUUUUUUUUAUAUAGUGAAAAUUAAUUUUUAUUAUUUUGUGAUUUCUCUCUUGGGUUGGACUUGGUUGUAAUUGAAAUUUAUUGAAACUUUUCCCUGACAGUGAUCAUACUCCUGCUGUAUAUUUAUGGAUUGAAAUUUGAAUUACCUCCUUUUUUACCCUGUAUUCUUGUAUUACAUCCCAUUUUACCAAAUCCCUCUCCCUGUUAUGCUUCUUGUCACAUUUUUCCGCUAACUAAUGUUCCGAGUUUAUUAUUACUUCUAUUUUUGUUUGUUCUUCUUGUGAUUGUUUGAAGCCCAUUUGGCUUCACUGUUUCAGUUUAUGUCAACAAAACUGAUUAUCAAAGUUUAAGUACGAUGAACAUUAAAUAACUUAACUGCAGAGAGAGAAAAAACAUGUUUAAAGAGUUGUUGAACUGUUUUAAGAAAGACUAAUGAUAGUUAUUUUAUUUUUUCAAUGAAAAUAUAAGAAAUGAGGAAAGCCAGAGUUUAGUUGACAUAUGAUUUGUUGAACACUUUAUACACAUUAAGGGAUGAUACUGGUGGCAUGUUACACACUAAGGGAGCAGGGCUUUCUAAAGGGAGUUUCAUGUUUAAUCUAUGCAAAAAUGCAAUCAACUUUUUCUAUUUUGAAAUUUACAGAACAAACUUGAAGCUCCUUUUUUCUUCAUUCAGUUUACCAGUCUUCAAACGAUAAUUUGGAUUCAGGGUUUUUACUUUUUGAUGUUUUGUGUAAAUAAGUUUAAAAGACAUUGACAGUUAUCUAAUUUUAUUUCAUUAUUGUAUUUGUUCCAUUGUUAGAAUACCUGUCAAGUUGUUUGUGAGUAGGAAAUAAGAGAAUUCUAUAGCAAAAAUGUAAUUUAUCUCAGUGAAGGUCUAUAGGAGUAUCCCAGCUUCUUUUGAGGAGUCAACAAUUUUCAUAGCUGUAGUUAGAUGCCAGUCUUCUGUAGAAACUACCCAGGAUUCCAUUAUUUCUUCUGAUUGAUCAGUGGUUGCCUAGCAAUGAAGUGUUUCACAAAGUUUUUCACAUCAAGGGGUGUGCUGAGAACAUGACAAAACUCCACAUAGAAAUCUAUAUAUUGUGCAAACUUUGUGACAUUGCAUGAUCUCAAUUUAACAAGAAUCAGCAAUCUGAGAGCUUCUUGUAAUCAACCAGUCUGAAAGCUUCUUGUAUAAUGGCAGCAGGUUUUUUCGUAUUAAGCAGUAGUGUGAAUUUUUUUUUUUACAAACUAAUUUAGUGUAGGUGUUUUUGAUUUUUGUUGGUAUUUUUUCUUGAAAGCUGGUCAGUUGCUUGCAUAGUGGAAUUUUUUAAUUUGUUUGUCAGAAACUUUUUAUACAUGUAGCGGUGUAGUGAUAGAUUAACUUUUGAUAUUGUUUUAAAACAUCUGUAAUAUAUAGCAUGACAGUAGAAAAAGAAGCAUAAGUGUUGUGUAAAUUUGUUAUGCACAUUGACAGUGUACUCAGUUUUUUUUUGUAUUUAACUAAAGUACUCAGCUGUGUUGUUCAUGUGCUUUCAAAAUAACUGCUUUGAGUAUAUAUUUAUUAAAUUUUGGAUACAAUUUAUAGUUCCAGUUCAGCUAGAGGAUACUAGAGAGUUCAGCAGAUAUCGAUAGACGGUUCCUCAGAAGGAUUACUUCAGAAUCCAAAAAUACCAGCAUCAAAACAAGCCAGUUUCAUGAUGCAUUGCAUUAACUUUAUUUUUAUUAUCAAAUAUUGAAAUAGGACUUCACCUCAUGUCUGAUGAAAGAUGCAUAAGAAAAAGGUAUGCUUCAGAUGAGAAUUUGCCUUUCACAAAUAAGCUGCUGUCAUGUUUGAAACCUUUGUGUUAAUACCUGUCAGAAACUUCGAAUACCUCAGAGAACCUGCUUAAAAAAAUGCCUAGGUAUGGCCGGACGUCUGGUAACAAAUUUAGGUAGCUUUCAUUUGGAAAAAACUGAAAUGAAAAAGUUAAUGCUGAUAUUGAUAUAAAUGAUUGGAGUGAUUUGCUGGUUUAAAGAAGAGAAGUACUUGGGAUAGUGCCAGAUACUAAACAGAAUAUGAACCAUGACCAUCUUUCGUCUUUAAAAUGCAGCGGGACUCAGAAGAUUAUUUUUGACAAAUUUUCCAUAACUUGAAUAUUUUAACACCAUCAUUGUGCUGUAUCUGGCCCUGCUCUUGACUAUUUCUUUCUUAAUUUUUUUCUGAUUUACAAAAACAUUUAUUUGAUUUCAGCCUAAAACUUGCAAUCUUACUCCUUAUUUUAUAAGGAAUUGUUACCUCAGUUGUACUUGUUGUAAUGAAAUUGUUAGUAUUUAUAGAAUCUACGUCGCAAUUUUCCGUCUUAAUUAUUAUAACAUUAUAUUGUAUAAUACCCCCAUCUUUCUCCUGUUUGUUAUUAUUGUUAUAUACUUGAGUGAUAUAAUUUAAACUUUUAGCUCAGAACAUUGUUUAUCAUGUGUGUGUGGUGUUAGGUAUUAGACAUGUAUAAAUUUUAUUUCAAGAAAUUUUUUGAUCUUAUCGUGCUAAUGACAGGUCCAUGCAAAUUUGUGUCAUUACAAUUCGCUCAUCUUAAUAUUUGUUGACGAAGAAAAUGUAGUUGUUAUAUAGUCAUUCAAGUAUUUAAAUGAAAACAUGUUUGUACCAUACUUCAUUUUGUAAAUUAUUUAUUCCAAAAUAGUCGGGAAGUUUUAUUUUUAUGUGAACGUUUUUCUUGUAUAUAAUUUAGAGGCCCUUGUUGCAGCAGUAGUACUGUCACGAUGGAUAGAUGCAGCAUUGUUACAUCUUUGCAGAAAAACUAUAAGAUGAUACAUUCUUGCAUCCAUCUACCAAGUUUGUCUGAAUGAAAUUAGACACGGUGUGAGUGAUUUGCAAGUCCCCUUUUUCCAGAUAUUACAACACUUUGCAGUAAAUUUGACUAGCCGUCAAGCAGAAGUUGCCAGGUGUCUGGGAAAAGCUAGAUUUCCUCAACAUUCCAAAAACCAUUUCCAGAUUUCUGCUUGAGAAAGUUUUCUAAAUUCUUUUUCCAAUUUCUUUCUAAACAACAGUUAGAACAAAAAGCAUGCUAGGUCAAAGAAAUGAAUAGGGGGACUUUCAUUGAAAAGUUAAUGGAUUUUAAAGGACCUCAUCCUCACAUUUGACCAACAGACAUUGUAAAAUCCAUUUAUACAAACAUUUAGAUCUCUUCCACAAGACAAACACACACUGGAGUAUUGUAAGUAAAAGUAAUGAGUUGUCAAGUCUGUCUGAUUGGAGAGUGACUUCCCAUUGCUAAAAUUUAUUAAGUAGUGUUUCAAAAUGUAAAAUGUCUUUGUGUCCCUGUUAGUCAACUUAAAAUGGCUGCCCUUUCACAUUGGUAAUGCAAAAUGUUUGAGUAAGGGAUAAAAUGGCUGCCCUUUCACAUUGGUUAUGUAAAAUGUUUGAGUAAGGGAUAAAAUGGCUGCCCUUUCACACUGGUUAUGCAAAAUGUGUGAGUAAGGGAUAAAAUGUUGGAAGGUCUGUGAAUGAAUUUGCUGUUGUAUAUUUUGUCGUUUUUUUUCCACAAUUAGAUGUACCAUUUUUAGAGCUUACAGCUCGAAUGAUAUAAAUACAGAUGUCAAAUAACUUUGGAAUGGAAGCUAUAUUUGAUUUCUGUUGUAGUAGUUUUUGUCUAAAAUAGUAACAUGUUUAAACAUCCUGCUAGAUUAUUUUUGGCAGUAUUUUAAACCUGUUAUUCUUUCAUAGACGUUUUUAUUUUAGUAUUUCUCCAGUGUUUUGAUACAUUAGGCAGCUUUUUUCAGAGUAAUAUAUGAAAUCCAAGUUUAAUGGGAAUAUUUUUAUUUGUUUUACUAAGACAACAGCGCAGUGGAAAUAAGAUAGAAUUGUGUAAUUAAUGCAGUUUGUGUUAUUAUAAUAUAUUUGAGAAUUAUGCAUUGUUUUAACUAACAGUAAUACAAGAACCAUCAAAGACUGCCAAAUUGUUAAUAAAACACUUUAAAAAGAAAAAUACACAAAA